rnacentral:rRNA from 1 species
GACGAACGCUGGCGGCGUGCCUAAUACAUGCAAGUAGAACGCUGAAGGAGGAGCUUGCUUCUCUGGAUGAGUUGCGAACGGGUGAGUAACGCGUAGGUAACCUGCCUGGUAGUGGGGGAUAACUAUUGGAAACGAUAGCUAAUACCGCAUAAUAGCAGUUGUUGCAUGAUAACUGUUUGAAAGGUGCAAUUGCACCGCUACCAGAUGGACCUGCGUUGUAUUAGCUAGUUGGUGGGGUAACGGCUCACCAAGGCGACGAUACAUAGCCGACCUGAGAGGGUGAUCGGCCACACUGGGACUGAGACACGGCCCAGACUCCUGCGGGAGGCAGCAGUAGGGAAUCUUCGGCAAUGGACGGAAGUCUGACCGAGCAACGCCGCGUGAGUGAAGAAGGUUUUCGGAUUGUAAAGCUCUGUUGUAAGAGAAGAACGAGUGUGAGAGUGGAAAGUUCACACUGUGACGGUAUCUUACCAGAAAGGGACGGCUAACUACGUG